CAUGGCGUGACUUGAGCCGAAAGGCUCGGUCAAAUAAUGCUGCAGCCAACCGGGCUCGGGCCCAGACUGGCAAUGCUGUGGAAAUACCAAUGGUCAGUCAGGAGGAACAGCUAAUCCUGACUGCAAUCGGAAAAGAUACCUCCGAGGGAGUGGGUCCAGAGGAGUCAAGGAUUGGAGAUGACAUCCUCAAUCAACUAAAAAUCCUCAACGAGACGCAACAAAAAAAUUAGAACUUUUAAAGGAGAGCAACGUCAUGUUGGCGAAUAGUAAUCUUUUGGAGGAGACGGAGAACAUAGAAAACUUGGAGGAUACUGAAAUAAUGGAAGAGGAAGACGAUUAAUAGUAGUUAAUUAAUGUGACUUCAUUCUUUCACACUUCUUCAUGUAAGGCGUUAUGUUUGUCUACACUCUAGUAUACAAUUGUGUUUUUAGCUACUAAUACGAAAAAAAUAC